rnacentral:rRNA from 1 species
AACGAACGCUGGCGGCAGGCUUAACACAUGCAAGUCGAACGGGUGUCGCAAGACAUCAGUGGCAGACGGGUGAGUAACACGUGGGAACCUUCCUCGGGGUACGGAACAACGCAGGGAAACUUGCGCUAAUACCGUAUACGUCCGUGAGGAGAAAGAUUUAUCGCCCUGAGACGGGCCCGACGUCGGAUUAGCUAGUUGGUGGGGUAACGGCCUACCAAGGCGACGAUCCGUAGCUGAUCUUAGAGGAUGAUCAGCCACACUGGACUGAGACACGGCCAGACUCUACGGAGGCAGCAGUGGGGAAUCUUGGACAAUGGGCGCAAGCCUGAUCAGCCAUGCCGCGUGAGUGAAGAAGGUCUUCGGAUUGUAAAGCUCUUUUUACCAGGGACGAUAAUGACGGUACCUGGAGAAUAAGCCCCGCAAACUUCGUGCCAGCAGCCGCGGU